rnacentral:rRNA from 1 species
UACGAAGGGGGCUAGCGUUGUUCGGAUUCACUGGGCGUAAAGGGCGCGUAGGCGGUCACGCACGUCCGUUGUGAAAUCGCUCGGCUCAACUGGGCGGGGUCAGCGGAUACGGCGUGGCUGGAGCAAGCUAGGGGGCAAUGGAAUUCCCGGUGUAGUGGUGGAAUGCGUAGAUAUCGGGAGGAACACCAGUGGCGAAGGCGGUUGCCUGGAGCUUUGCUGACGCUGAUGCGCGAAAGCGUGGGGAGCGAUCCGG